GGGGGACCCAGGCUGGAGCAGUUUGCUCCUGACGGAUGGACUCCAUGGGAAGAAGAGCCCCCACAUGAUCAGCUCGGGAAGGCGGCAUCCCCUGGGAGGGACCCCACGUUGGAGGCGAUGAUGACGUGCUCUGCGCUGACCACGGCAGGUGAUGAAGUGUUCCGCGCUAAACACAGCCCCAAUUCCCCAUUCCCUUGCGCCACUCGGGUGAAGAAGUGGAAGUGGGUGCUGGGGAAGUGGGGAGGGUGUUUUCAGUUUGCUUUUACUUUCACAUUGCUCCCUUCUGUUGCAAUAAGUUACAAUGAUCUCCCUACGCCGAGUCUGUUUUGCCCAUAAUGAUGAUUGCUGAGUGAUGUCCCUGUUCUUAUCUCAACCCUUGAGCCCUUUUUCAUCGUAUUUUCUCCCUCUUCCCCUUUGAGGAGGAGUGAGAGAAGGGUGGUUGUGGCCUUUGGCUGCUUGUCGGUGUGAAACCACCGCAGAUGGUGCAGAAGACCUGUUCUCUUGACCUUACAGUAACAGCAAGAUUUUAUUGCUUAUGUCCUAGAGGUCUGACCUCAACUCGAGGACUGUGAGUGUUAGUCACAAGUAGCUCUGUCUUUGAGGAACUGGAAUUAACCUAUGUGGUUUCAAGCUUUAAAUGCAGAUUAAAAAAAAAAAAAAAAAAAAAAAAAAAAGUUGUGCAAGAGCUUGUUGUGCAGCUAGGGACUGGCACAGGAUGGGGUUGUGGGACUUUUGUGGGGAUUAGAGCUGAUUGCUUAUCUCUUGUCCACCCUGAGAAAAAAACAGAAGUCGCAGUGCAAGAAAACUUCUGGUUUUCAUUACCACUGUUCUUCUUCUGUGUUUUUUAUUUAAAGUGUCAGAUGGCUGGAGUUUGUGCUGAUGCAAGCAACACAACAGCCUGUUUUCUGCCAGUGAAUUAAUGAGUCAUACAGGGGAGAGAGCUCUAUUUCAAGGCAGCUCCUGCAAGCUGGGUUCACCCUUCCCUCAAAUGUCUGAUCCAGUAUGUGCGCACCAAGUGGUUCCACGGACAGGGAUUUCUGCUCUGAUCCCUGGUGAACAAGUCUAUCUUCCUUUAAACUGUAUGCCUAGCUUCCUUCCCAGGCCUUUCUGCACUCUCUGAAAACAUACACACACAAAAAAUGCCUGUCUCACUGUGCACACUCUCUCCUGAUUUGUCGUUUUCUGAUCCAAGGAGAACAAAAAGUGGAUGGGCUGUGGACAUUUGGACCUGUACCUGCAGCUUCAGCAUCAUAGAGCUAAAGGGUGGUGGACCACACACCAUAAUCAGUGGGCUCAGAGCAGUCUGGACCGUGAAGAGCAAAGCCAUCAGGAUUAAAGAUACUUUCCUCCAGGUCUCAGGCCUUCCAUUACCCUGAAUUUAAUGAAGCACAAUGACAGCAGCAUUCAUUGCUCUUGAAAAACCUUGUUCUGAGGUCACCAGGCUCAGUUCUCUUUACAGAUGCUUUUCAAGACCUAGAUAUGUGUCAUUGAAACCUAGGUGGUUAAAAGAGGAAGGAAGAACGGAACCCUAAAGCUCCUGUAAACAAGGCAGUGAUUGUUUCACUUCCACAGAGAAGAUCCUGUGACCACCGUUGC